CACAUGCAAGUCGAGCGGGGAGAUGUAGCUUGCUACAUAUCCUAGCGGCGGACGGGUGAGUAAUGCUUAGGAAUCUGCCUAUUAGUGGGGGACAACAUUCCGAAAGGAAUGCUAAUACCGCAUACGCCCUACGGGGGAAAGCAGGGGAUCUUCGGACCUUGCGCUAAUAGAUGAGCCUAAGUCGGAUUAGCUAGUUGGUGGGGUAAAGGCCUACCAAGGCGACGAUCUGUAGCGGGUCUGAGAGGAUGAUCCGCCACACUGGGACUGAGACACGGCCCAGACUCCUACGGGAGGCAGCAGUGGGGAAUAUUGCACAAUGGGCGAAAGCCUGAUGCAGCGACGCCGCGUGAGGGAUGACGGCCUUCGGGUUGUAAACCUCUUUCAGCAGGGACGAAGCGCAAGUGACGGUACCUGCAGAAGAAGCACCGGCUAACUACGUGCCAGCAGCCGCGGUAAUACGUAGGGUGCAAGCGUUGUCCGGAAUUACUGGGCGUAAAGAGUUCGUAGGCGGUUUGUCGCGUCGUUUGUGAAAACCAGCAGCUCAACUGCUGGCUUGCAGGCGAUACGGGCAGACUUGAGUACUGCAGGGGAGACUGGAAUUCCUGGUGUAGCGGUGAAAUGCGCAGAUAUCAGGAGGAACACCGGUGGCGAAGGCGGGUCUCUGGGCAGUAACUGACGCUGAGGAACGAAAGCGUGGGUAGCGAACAGGAUUAGAUACCCUGGUAGUCCACGCCGUAAACGGUGGGCGCUAGGUGUGGGUUCCUUCCACGGAAUCCGUGCCGUAGCUAACGCAUUAAGCGCCCCGCCUGGGG
rnacentral:rRNA from 1 species